rnacentral:ribozyme from 1 species
GCCUAGUGUUGCCGGCCACCUUGCCGUGGUAUCAGGGUCUCGUACCCCACCCUGUGGGGAAACCAAGAGCCUG